ACCCUGUAUUUGGAUCUCACAAUUACGAUGCAAGAAAUAUGUAAGCUGCGAGAACAGAUGUGAAAAAUAUUAAUAUACAUUACAAUCAUGAAUGCUUUACAUUGAAAUUUUCUGAUAAAUUUUACAAGAACAACUCAGAGAAAGAGAUUCAAGAAGGCUCAUAUAUGAACUACAUAAACAUUGAAGAUGCAUAAUUAAAUAAUAUUUUAAUAAAUGGAACAUUUCUAAUGCAAAGGACGCAAGAAAUAUGUAAGCUGCGAGAACAGAUGUGAAAAAUAUUAAUAUACAUUACAAUCAUGAAUGCUUUACAUUGAAAUUUUCUGAUAAAUUUUACAAGAACAACUCAGAGAAAGAGAUUCAAGAAGGCUCAUAUAUGAACUACAUAAACAUUGAAGGAGAUUGUUUUUGUUACAGAUGCAUAAUUAAAUAAUAUUUUAAUAAAUGGAACAUUUCUAAUGCAAAGGUAAUAGUUGAUUAACAUUUAUAGUGACACAUUAACAUUACACUAUAUAACAUUUUUUUAUUAAUAUUUUUAAUUAAUAAAAUUAUAUGCAAGGUGUAAAUGCAAAUUACUUCGAUUCAUAAAGUUACAAAAUAUAUUUUAGAUAUUAAUUUUUUUGUAAUGUUUUUCAUGAUAUACGCUAUGAUAUAUAGUGAUAACUAAAUAUUUCAUUGAAACAACAGAUACAAGAUUCAAGUUUCAAUUUGUGCGUAUUAUUUAUUAAAAGUUUUUUUUUCUUGAAACAAAAUAGGAAAAAUAACAUGUAUAGCAAAUAACACAUGUUAUCGAAAAAUAAUAAACAAACGCAAUAUUCCAUAGAAAUAAGAUUCUUUUAUUGAAACCUCAUAUUAUAUCUAAGGUACAAAAUGCGAAGUAAUACGCGUUCCUCUUGGACUAGAUAUCCAUUCCGUGAAAACGUAAUAACAUGAUCGCACGAAGAUGUUAUUGCGAAUUUAUAUUAGCGAUCCUGAUAAAACGUUACUGCAAGAUUUUAUCCAUAUGUACGAGAAACGUCACAUUUUAUUCAAUUUGUUUUAUAAUUAAAACAAAAAUAAUAACAAUAAAAAGUAAAGUCCUGAUAUAGUAAAAUCGACUUUUUAUAUAAAACAAAGAGGAGAGAAAAGCAUUAAGUUCCUCAAUAUCCGAAUUCGAUUAUGUAUAAUAAUAUUAAUAAUGUAAAAUACUUAGCGAGACAAACUAAUUCUACUUUAAGUGAAUGCAUGAUAAAACUUGAUCACACAGAGAGCAGACUGAUCUAGCGCUCGGUGCAUAACGCAAGGACGCGAGAAACACUAUAUAUUUUUUGUAACAUAAUUGCACUAGAAUAUAUAGUAUAUACAAUACAUAACUAAGGUGUGUACCCGUCCGGGGAUAUAAUCAAUUGCUGGUGUGUAAAGAUUCAAAAAAGUAUUCUUACACUAAGUCGCCAACAAACAGUUCGCAAGAUUUCUAUCUUGUAUCUAUAAAGUGCGCAGUGCUAUACGACUCUAUGUCGUACAUUAUAAAAAUCAUACGCGCUCGCGGGCGAGUUGGUCGCGUCUGUAUACCUUUAAUAAUUUGUCGCCGGCCGUGCCGAAGGCCGGUGAAAUGGAAACUCAUUCUUCUGGUCCUUGACAUGCACUGCUUAACGUAGCCAGCUUUUCUGAACAUCGCGAUUGCCACGCGAUCAAGAGAUAACUUCGAACGUUCCGUUGACAUAAGACAUAAACGACUUAAUUGAUAUUGCGCGCGAUCGUACUCCUCUUUAAUGAAUCACAUUAACGUGUCGUCGGUGAACAUUUUUUUUUUUCAGAUAGCCAUAGAUAUAGAUUCUAGCAACGUUGCCGAUGAUUCCUAAUGUUGCAAGACUUAAUCAGUUAUAUGAUUUAACUUCCGUUCAGUGUAUUCAUUAAAUAAUUGAUUAUGAUCUCGCCUUCGCGCAAUCAACAUGGUUCAUUAUUAAAUAAAUAUUCUUUGUUUAAGUUUCGUAUAUAAAUGCCAGUAGUAUACUUUCAAUUUCAGUUGAGUAAUAUCAUGUGUGAUUGAUCAAUAAAAUUGAAUUUUUUUUUACAUAAUUUAAUAAUACACUUGUUGGGAGACAGAAAGAUAUGCAUUUUGUGUCUUGUAUCAUUGCUAUAAAAAUCUCAUUUCCCUUUACACAGAAAAUUAAAGAUGUAAAAAGACAAUAUAAUAGUUCGAUCACUAAGAAUAUCUUUUUACAGACUCAAUAAAUUAAAAAAAGUAAAGUUUGUAUAUAUUUUUUAGACACAAAGUACUUUCUCGAAAGAUUCGCGGUAUAUUUAAAAACAUUUUGAAUACAUCUGCAACGUUCGCGUCGAUAUGGUUAGACAUUACAUAUUUUUGUUGCACACCAGGCUCUCGAAAAUUUACCCUAAUCUUUGUUUCAUAAUUCGAGAAUAUAUCUCGUUUCUUCUCUGUCUCUUUACAGAAACAUCUUUAUUGGUUUCACGAAGUUUAAGACUCGAGUAAGUUACUCUCACGAAUAAAUCGACAUCCAUUCGCCUUGUUAUGUCUUCCUGAGUGACCAUUAGCACCUUUCGCUGAAUAUUUAUAUGAACCACGGCACUUACAUGACCAUUGCCGUUCGCUAUACCGAUACGCUAUACAUCAUAUCUACAUUGAGCAUGUCGUCUGCCAGCUGUCACAACUGGUAAUUUGUGAUAGGAUCAAAGUCUUUUUGCCAGAAGCUUCUCUGCUACACGCAACCUCAAUCGCACAAGCUUCAUCGAUUGAAAUGGGAAGAGCCGGCAAAACUUGGCAACGAAACGCGAAUCCCAGCAGAUGCGUUUGUGAGCCUGACACUGCCGCCACAGUUCAGGAGAGAGACAAUCCUUGUCAAGGAUUCGUCGGCGAGCGGCGGCUCUCUGAUUUGCACAAUCCCAUAAUCCAGCAACGGUUCGUAAUGAUAAAAAUUGGCCGGAUGCGCAUUCACCACGUCGCCGAGAAAAGUGCUGCCGCUUCGCCAACUCGUCAGAAUUAUGCUCCUCACGGGUCUGCCACCUCUCUCCAUCACUAGAUCUUCAAGUUUGCUACAUUUG